rnacentral:rRNA from 1 species
CAUGGCUGUCGUCAGCUCGUGUCGUGAGAUGUUGGGUUAAGUCCCGCAACGAGCGCAACCCUUGUUCUGUGUUGCCAGCAUGCCCUUCGGGGUGAUGGGGACUCACAGGAGACCGCCGGGGUCAACUCGGAGGAAGGUGGGGACGACGUCAAGUCAUCAUGCCCCUUAUGUCUUGGGCUGCACACGUGCUACAAUGGCCGGUACAAUGAGCUGCGAUACCGCGAGGUGGAGCGAAUCUCAAAAAGCCGGUCUCAGUUCGGAUUGGGGUCUGCAACUCGACCCCAUGAAGUUGGAGUUGCUAGUAAUCGCAGAUCAGCAUUGCUGCGGUGAAUACGUUCCCGGGCCUUGUACACACCGCCCGUCACGUCACGAAAGUCGGUAACACCCGAAGCCGGUGGCCCAACCCCUUGUGGGAGGGAGCUGUCGAAGGUGGGACUGGCGAUUGGGACG